AACCGCGGGCGGCGCGGACGGCGUCGCGCGAGGGACAAGGUGCGCGAGGCGCACGCAUCUUCACCUCCACUGUCGGGAGCUGACCUGCUCCUCCCGCGUGGUUACCCGUCGCUGUAAAUGGACAGAUAAUUAUCCAAACAAAAAAAAUGCAGCAAAUAUUCUGGAUCCCCGAGCAGUCUUCUCAACUGGUACGAGGAAAAGUCAAGAAAAGCUCCUUUGAGAAGGUCUCCCUGGAAGACAGGCCCAUGAGGAGCUGAAGAAAGAAGUGGGAGGACAGAGGAGAACUCACACAAGGGGAUCAAGUUGGUGAAAACUGGAGAACCAGGCAGGGCCUGUGGAAGACUUCAUCUUGGCAGAGGGAAAAGGCUUCCAAGAAUCUUCCGGUUAUGCAAAGGCAAGGCCCAGCGGUACAUCUGGACAGAGUAGGGAUUGAGACAAGGAUGAAGGGGCUUUUCAGAAUAAAGUUGUGUUUUCCUUUGAUGAAAA